rnacentral:rRNA from 1 species
AGAGUUUGAUCCUGGCUCAGAACGAACGCUGGCGGCGCGCCUAAAACAUGCAAGUCGGACGAGAAAGUCUUCGGACGAGUAGAGUGGCGCACGGGUGAGUAAUACGUGGAUAACCUACCUUAGGGACCUGGAUAACAUUUCGAAGGGAAUGCUAAUACUGGAUGAUGUUUAGAUAUCAGUGAGGGUAUUUAAAUGAAAACAUGGUCACUACUUGUAAACUUUGGCCCUAUGAGGGGUUUACGUCCCAUUAGCUUGUUGGUGAGGUAAAGGCUCAUCCAAGGCUAAGAUGGGUAGCUGGUCUGAGAGGAUGAUCAGCCACACUGGAACUGAAACACGGUCCAGACUCCUACGGGAGGCAGCAGUUGGGAAUAUUGCGCAAUGGGGGAAACCCUGACGCAGCGACGCCGCGUGAGCGAAGAAGGCCCUCGGGUUGUAAAGCUCUGUCGAAGGGGAAGAACGCCCAGAUAGUUAAUAGCUAUCGGGGUUGACGGUACCUUUGGAGGAAGCACCGGCUAACUCUGUGCCAGCAGCCGCGGUAAUACAGAGGGUGCAAGCGUUGUUCGGAAUCACUGGGCGUAAAGAGUUUGUAGGCGGAAUUAUUAGUAUGGGGUUAAAUACCUGGGCCCAACCUAGGAUAUGCUUCGUAAACGGUAAAUCUAGAGUAUCGGAGAGGAUAGUGGAAUUCCUGGUGUAGAGGUGAAAUUCGUAGAUAUCAGGAGGAACACCAGAGGCGAAGGCGACUAUCUGGCCGAGUACUGACGCUAAAGAACGAAAGCGUGGGGAGCAAACAGGAUUAGAUUCCCUGGUAGUCCACGCCCUAAACGAUGAUAACUAGACGUGGGAAUUGGUUGACAGUUUCUGUGUCGUAGCUAACGCGAUAAGUUAUCCGCCUGGGGAGUACGGUCGCAAGACUAAAACUCAAAGGAAUUGACGGGGACCCGCACAAGCGGUGGAUUAUGUGGUUUAAUUCGAAGCAACGCGCAGAACCUUACCUGGGCUUAACAUCCCAAGAAAAGCCACAGAGAUGUGGCCUUACGAUAUGGAAACAUAUCGUCUUGGUGAUAGGUGCUGCAUGGCUGUCGUCAGCUCGUGUUGUGAAAUAUUGGGUUAAGUCCCGCAACGAGCGCAACCCCUAUCUUAAGUUGCCAGCAUUAAGUUGGGCACUCUAAAGAAACUGCCUGCGUUAAGCAGGAGGAAGGUG